AUCAGGGAAAUGUGCUUUUGUGAAGGGCUGAUUUUUACUGAGCACGACUCAAGCUGCACCUUGUGCUUUUUUUAAAGGAUAAUCACUUCAACGUGAUUAAUGAUGCCUAAAGCCACCCGUCUCAGUUCCUGCGGUGAAACGCGGAACUUUCGUGCGCGCCUGGGUCGGGGGGAGGCUGAGCCGCACGCCCGCCGGGGGAGGGCGGGGCCGGCCUGCACACACAGUCGGGUCUUUGUUCCGGGAGGGGCUGCAGAUCGGAACCGCGUCUCCGGCUGGGUGGGCAGCACUGCUCCGGUUACGGAAGGGAACUGAAAUCGGUACCUCGCAAGGUGCCAGAACAAGUUUGUGGCUGGCAUAGCAGGAAGAAGAACAGGACUAUGAGAAAACCAGCACCCAGGAUGUCAGAGGGACACAACGUGGAAAUGUUUUGAAGAAACUGGAAAUGACAGACGAAUAGGUAGAGCCAAGGGCGGAGCAGGAACACAACCUCUGAUUGAAGAAAUCAUGCCCAUACUAAGUGUCAUUUUGAAAUAGAGGAUAAGAUGGGACAGAAGACAUCAGGCCUGCCAUUUCCGGCAUGGUCAGACCUGGGUGUCAUGCUUGGACAUAGAUGGCUUUGAUGGAACAUGGGAAACUGUUUUUUGUUUCCUAACUCCUUGGCUCCAGCCAUCUCCUUCCCGCCUUUCUUUCCCUGCACCGUGCUCUGCAAAGGUCUGGUAUGAAUAGUGGGCAUGGGUGACUGAAACUGAGUAACAUGGAGGCCUUCCCUGGUGACUAGUCCAAGCAAGAGCUUUGCCAAGUCCUGCCCAACUCACAGAGCCUGCACAUUGAUCGGUCACACCAUUAUAGUCCCCAUGUGCACUGAGUCUCCUUCAGUGUCCUGUGCUGCAUCUCUUGGGACUCUUGACUUUCUGAAGACUCUGCUUUGCUACUGCUGUCUCGGCCUUGCCUCGGGGCAGCCUUCUCACUGACCUCAGUCUCUAGAAGCUUCUUCUCUUGAGCUUUUGGUCAGACCCCCGUGUUAUCACCAUGGGCUCUGAGACCACCUGAAGCUGGUGUUUGCAGGGAUUCUAUUUUCUUUGUUCUCUUUCUGGCCCUGGCUGAAGCUUCCCUUGAGAGGCUUGUAAGUUCUGCUGCCUGUAUCGGCAAUUCUCCAGUUUCUGAGCCUCAGGAUGCUGUGAAAAUCUUUCUCACUCCUACUCUAACUCCAUUUCUUCUUUUUAUUUCCUCACUCUCCAUUCUGAGGUCCCACUUCUUUUGUUAAGCAAGGAAGCUCCAGUCUGCUUUCUUUUAUGUGAGCAUCAGCCACCCAAGAGGCCCUGCUGCGACUUCCUUCUCUCUGCAGCAGCUGUCUUUCCUCCUGCUGCUGCACUGCUGUGUAAAGUCACCCGGCGCAUGUUCAUGGUGAAGACAGCUGCCACCCGUUUCACAGAAGUCCCCAGGGGUUUAAAAAUCCAUACAAUUGGACAGAGGAUUUAACUUAGUGACAUACACCCCAAAGCCUGCCUGGCAAGUGCAAAGUCAUGAGUUCAAUCCUCUGUCCAAACAACAACAACAACAACAACAAAAAUCCAUGCAAUUAAAAAAGACUGAAGAAAAAACAUGAGGUUGUAACUUCUACCACUCUUCUGGUCACCAGAGUUGAGUUAGCUGGUAUGGGGGGAUAACCCACUUCCUCUCUCACCAGCGUAGUGACAGUUUUCUCAGAAACACACGUGAUGUUGAAAGAAUGGUGUUCUCUGACAAAAGAAAGCAUUUCAGUAAAGAUAAUUAAAAUAGCAUGGAAAGCACAUGCCCCACAGAAUUGAAAACAGGGACUUGACAGAUGUUUAUUCAGCUGCAUGAGCCCAAGAUGGGAACAAGUCAAAUAUGUGUCACAGAAUGGAUGGUACUGUUGAAUGGAUCAACACACUUGGUAUAUAUGUACAGUGGAAUAUUAUUUGGUCCUAAAAAGAAUAGAAUUCUGAUACAUGCUAUACCACGGAUCAAACUCGAAUGCCUAUGUGAAUUGAAAUAAGCCGUAACUAAAACGACAAAUACUGUACAAUUCCACUUGUCUAAGAUACAUAAAAGAGUUAAAUGAAGCAGAAUGGUAGUGACUAGAGCCUGGGAAUGGGAGAGGUAUUAUUUAAUGGGUAGCCAGUUUUAGUUUGGGAGGUGAUAGAGUUCUACAGGUUGGUGGUGAUGUGAUUGUAUAAUGGUGCAAAUGUACUUAAUGCUGCUGAACCAUACAGUUAAAAAUGGUUAAAAUGAUAAAAGUUAUGUUUUCCACAAGAAAAAAAAUUAACAAAAUGUAACAUAUAAGUCAUGAUUUUAUGGGUUUUCUAUAUUUCACAUGUUAAUAAUAAUAAUAAAUAAAUAAAUUACAUUAUUUA